CUCUCCCGUUCCAGUCGCCUAAAACUCCGCAAUCAGGCGCAUGUUCCACUCCUUCUAAAACUGAAGCUUUUUGGAAGCUUUUUCAGGCUACAGUGGGACGCACUGUAAUAUUUAUUCAUUUUGAUCCCUGGACUAGAGCACGAUUUAACGAGUUCCAAGCCUUCCAUCUAACUCCGUGACGGGCUUUAAAGCAUCAGGCUUGGCAUCCAUCCCCUAAGCCCCUUCUCAGCUCCUGUCUACCUCUCUGCUGGGGUGUUGGUGCCUGGGCUUUAACCAUCAGACCUAACCUGUGUGGCUUCCUGUCCGUCCACAGAGGGACACAAUCCUCUACUUUGAAUUCAAGGGGCCUGAAGACAACACAGCCUCACGCAGGCUCAGCAACACACAGGUUACCACCCCAACAGGACACACCACGCCACCCGGCGGGCUGAGUUGUCACGCACGACACGUGUGUGUGUGUGUGUGUGUGUGUGUGUGUGUGUGUGUGUGUGUGUGUGUGUGUGUGUGUGUGUGUGUGUGUGUGUGUGUGUAUGUGUGUGUGUGUGUAAGCCACAGGAGGUUGGUGGUACCUUAAUUGGGGAGGACGGGCUCGUGGUAAGAGCUGGAGUGGAAUCAUGGUUUCCAUGUGUUUGAUUCCAUUCCAUUCGCUUCGUUCCAGCCAUUAUUAUGAGCCGUUCUCCCCUUAGUAGCCUCCACUGGCAUAAGCAUGUUGCCCCCCGCCGAAUGUCCAUCCAUCUUGCUUCUCCCCCUCAGCCCACCCAUCCUUCCUCUCUACCUAUCCACCCUUUCAUCCUCUAUCUCUUUUCUUCAUACUGGACCAGAAUGUGAACGAGUAAAGUUGGCCUCGCGGAGAGAGAGUGCCUCCGCGAUUACUGAUGUCAAAUAAUAGAUAGAUUCACUUCUGCAGGUUAAAGGUUGUACUUUAUGACAAAUUACAUCAAUUAAAGGGAUAGUUUUCUGUGUUGUUUACUCCAAUCAACCUGGAAAACUAUCCCUUUAAAUAUUUACAUACUGUAGAUUUUUUUAUAAGAGAACACAUACGGAUUAUCUUGAGUACACAACGUAAAAUAUAUUUGUCUUUAUUAGGAGAAUUGUGUCUCUGUUGAAAUUGAGAGGACGUCUGGUUUGCGUACCACAAAACAUGAAUUUGAAAAACCUGUCAGUUUAGAAGAGGUUAGUAACAGGUGAGGAAAACGUUUUGAAAAAAACCAAAGCUGUAAAAGUUAUGUGACUCACUGAGAUAUGACUGAACUAUUUUCCGUUGAAUAUUAUGAUAGUAUACACAGCUACUUCAAUAUCAGGCAGGGAUACUCGAUGUUGCGUACAUGAGUGAGACCAUAGAAUUAGAAUGACCUGCGGUUAUUUUUAUUUUGGCUUAUUAGUUAUUCUCUUUCUAUAAUCCUGUAAUCAGAUUUAUCCUCGUGUACCAUUAUAGAGGGAUAUUAUUUAAGCUGGAUGUUUUUGCACUAUAGUCCUUUGAAUGCCAUGUCAGUAAAUGUUCAGUAGUGGAUUUCAAAUGUUAAGACAGAUAGGCAUACUAUCUUGAUCACAUUUUGUUUUUACUUUACCUUUAAGAAAUACUAUGCAUAUUAAAAACAUGCAUCAAUAAAAGCUGGGAUAACGAACCUACAACACGCAGUAUAUCAAACCCAUUAAGAAAGUUAAGGCAGACGUCUUACAACACGUAAUUCCUAGCAGCUGAGAGCGAUAGAGAGAGAGAGAGAGAGAGAGAGAGAGAGAGAGAGAGAGAGAGACAGACAGACAGACAGACAGACAGACAGACAGACAGACAGACAGACAGA
rnacentral:lncRNA from 1 species